GGGGCCGUAAAGGUUUCGACGGGGGUCAUGAAGUACGGGUAGCGAGUAGAGGAGCAUGCACCUCUAUAAAAGUAUGACGUUUUUAAAUUAGACGACAACAAUAAUUUAGCUUUUGCGGCUUAAUUAAGCCGUCGUUCUGCCGCGGAGUACCACGGCCGCGGACAGAGCGUCGAUUAGUGGUGAACGAUCCGCCCGAGCGCCUCGUAGGGCUGGAUUGUAUUCGGGGCUACCAAGCUGCGCAGCCUGCCGGACGGCGGCGCGGCAAGGGAAUUUAAAAAGACCGGCUGCACUCGGAGAAGCCUGUAUGGACUGGUUUUCGGACAGGGGUUCGAUUCCCCUCGGCUCCACCA
rnacentral:tmRNA from 2 species